rnacentral:rRNA from 1 species
GAUGAACGCUAGCGGGAGGCCUAACACAUGCAAGCCGAGCGGUAUUGUUUCUUCUGAUCUGGGAGAGAGGCGUACGGGGGCGUAACACGUGUGCAACCUGCCUUUAUCUGGGGGGUUGCCUUUCGAAAGCAAGAUCAAUUCUCCCUAAUGUACUGAACGGCAUCGUUUAGUAUUUAAAGCUCCGGCGCUUAGAGAUGGGCAGGGGCAGGAUUAGCUAGUUGGUGAGGUAACGGCCUACCAAGGCGACGAUCUUUAGGGGGCCUGAGAGGGUGAUCACUCAAACUGGGACUGGGACACGGACCAGACGGCAGCGGGAAGCAGGAGUUAGGAGAAUUGGGCAAAGGGUGUAAGCCUGAACCAGCGAGCGUGUGUGAAGGAUGUCUGCACUAUGGAUUGUAUACUUCUUGUAGAUAGGGAUAAACCUACCCACGUUGGGGUAGCGGAGGGUACUAUACGAAUAAGCACGGGCUAACUCGUG